UACGUAGGUGGCAAGCGUUGUCCGGAAUUAUUGGGCGUAAAGCGCGCGCAGGCGGUCCUUUAAGUCUGAUGUGAAAGCCCACGGCUCAACCGUGGAGGGUCAUUGGAAACUGGGGGACUUGAGUGCAGGAGAGAAGAGUGGAAUUCCACGUGUAGCGGUGAAAUGCGUAGAGAUGUGGAGGAACACCAAGUUGCGAAGGCAGC
rnacentral:rRNA from 1 species